rnacentral:lncRNA from 1 species
UUAAAAGUUAGUUUUAAACAUAUCUUUAAAAAUUAUUCUUUAAAAGAACUAUUUUUCACUUGUUUGUAAAAGAAAUUAUUUUGGUAUUGUUUAUAUAUUUGUCUCCACCCACAUCUUAUGUUGAAUUAUAAUCCCCAGUGGUGGAGGUAGGGCCUGAGGGGAAAUGUUUGGAUCACAGGGCAGAUCCCUCAUGACUUGGUGCUGCCUUUGCAAUAGUGAGUGAGUUCUCACAAGACCUGGUCAUUUAAAAGGGUGUGGCUCCUCCCCUUCACUCUCUCUGUCUUCCUCCUACUCCGGCCAUGUGACAUGCCUGCUCCCCUUUUGCCUUCUGUCAUGAUUGAAAACUUCCUUAGGCCUCCCCAGAAGCCAACCAGAUGCCAGUACCAUGCUUCCUGUAAAGCCUGCAGAGCCAUGAACCAAUUAAAAGUUUUUUUCUUUAUAAAUUACCCAGUUUCAGGUAAUUCUUUAUAGUGGUGCAUGAAUGGCCUAAUGAUGAGGAAGAUUACAUAUUUUAUGUAUUCAUGAGCAAGUUUCCCAUAAGCCUGUAGGCACAUGCAAUGCAAGAAUGAAAGAGGCUUAGCAGCCUCCACCUAUAUGCAAAGGAUGUAUGAGAAAGCCUGGGUGUCAAGGCAGAAGACUGCUGAGCAAACUGGAACUGAGAGUGGGUCAUUGCUAUAAAGAUACCUGAAAAUGUGGAAGCAGUUUUGGUACUGGGUAAUAGGGAGAGGUUGGAGAAGUUUGGAGGACUCAGAAGACAGGAAGAUGAGCAAAUAUUUGGAACCUCUUAGAGACUGGUUAAACGAUUGUGACCAAAAUGCUGAUAGUGAUAUGGGCAAUGAAGGCCAGACUGAUGAAGUUUCAGAUGGAAAUGACCUGGCUGCUUCUAAUAACCUAUACUCAGAUGCAGUAGCAAAGAAAUGACUUAAAGCUAGAAUUUAUAUUUAAAAACGUAAAGUGUAAAAGUUUGGAAAAUUUGCAGUCUAGCCAUGUGGCAGAAAAAGAAAAAGACUUUUCAGGAAAGGAAUUCAAGCAAGCCACUGAAGCAACCUUUUGCUUGAGAUAUUUGCAUAACUAAAAGAGAACCAUAUACUAAUAGUCAAGACAAUGGGGAAAAAGCUUCAAAGGCAUUUCAGAGACCUUUGCAGCAGCCCCUCUCAUCACAGGCCUUGAGGCCUAGGAGGAAAGAAUGGUCAGGCCCAGGACUCUGCUGCCCUGCACAGCCUCAAGACACUCUUCUCCACAUCUAGGCCGCUCAUGAAUUAAAGGGGUCCAGGUACAUCUCAGGCUGCCACUUUGGAGGGUUCAAGCCAUAUCACCACAGUUUCCAUGUGGUGUUAAGCCUGUAGGAAC